rnacentral:rRNA from 1 species
CAUUGGAAACGAUGGCUAAUACCGCAUAAUCUCUUCGGAGCAAAGAGGGGGACCUUCGGGCCUCUCGCGUCAGGAUUAGCCCAGGUGAGAUUAGCUUGUUGGUGAGGUAAGAGCUCACCAAGGCAACGAUCUCUAGCUGGUCUGAGAGGAUGAUCAGCCACACUGGAACUGAGACACGGUCCAGACUCCUACGGGAGGCAGCAGUGGGGAAUAUUGCACAAUGGGGGAAACCCUGAUGCAGCCAUGCCGCGUGUGUGAAGAAGGCCUUCGGGUUGUAAAGCACUUUCAGUUGUGAGGAAGGCGUUGUCGUUAAUAGCGGCAAUGUUUGACGUUAGCAACAGAAGAAGCACCGGCUAACUCCGUGCCAGCAGCCGCGGUAAUACGGAGGGUGCGAGCGUUAAUCGGAAUUACUGGGCGUAAAGCGCAUGCAGGCGGCUUGUUAAGCCAGAUGUGAAAGCCCGGGGCUCAACCUCGGAAUAGCAUUUGGAACUGGCAGGCUAGAGUCUUGUAGAGGG